ACGAACGCUGGCGGCGUGCUUAACACAUGCAAGUCGAGCGGAAAGGCCCUUCGGGGUACUCGAGCGGCGAACGGGUGAGUAACACGUGAGUAACCUACCUCGAACUCUGGGAUAAGCCUGGGAAACUGGGUCUAAUACCGGAUGUUCAUCUCCUGCUGCAUGGUGGGGGAUGGAAAGUGUUUAGCGGUUCGGGAUGGGCUCGCGGCCUAUCAGCUUGUUGGUGAGGUAAUGGCUUACCAAGGCUUUUACGGGUAGCCGGCCUGAGAGGGCGACCGGCCACACUGGGACUGAGAUACGGCCCAGACUCCUACGGGAGGCAGCAGUGGGGAAUAUUGCGCAAUGGGCGGAAGCCUGACGCAGCAACGCCGUGUGAGGGAUGACGGCCUUCGGGUUGUAAACCUCUUUCACCAGGGACGAAGCUUUUGUGACGGUACCUGGGGAAGAAGCGCCGGCCAACUACGUGCCAGCAGCCGCGGUAACACGUAGGGCGCGAGCGUUGUCCGGAAUUAUUGGGCGUAAAGGGCUCGUAGGCGGUUUGUCGCGUCGGAAGUGAAAAUCCGGGGCUCAACUCCGGACUUGCUUUCGAUACGGGCAGGCUAGAGGUAGGCAGGGGAGAAUGGAAUUCCUGGUGUAGCGGUGGAAUGCGCAGAUAUCAGGAGGAACACCGGUGGCGAAGGCGGUUCUCUGGGCCUUACCUGACGCUGAGGAGCGAAAGCGUGGGGAGCGAACAGGAUUAGAUACCCUGGUAGUCCACGCUGUAAACGUUGGGCGCUAGGUGUGGGAGUCUUUUGUGACGUCCGUGCCGUAGCUAACGCAUUAAGCGCCCCGCCUGGGGAGUACGGUCGCAAGACUAAAACUCAAAGGAAUUGACGGGGGCCCGCACAAGCGGCGGAGCAUGUUGCUUAAUUCGAGGCAACGCGAAGAACCUUACCUGGGUUUGACAUGUGGGUUAAUCCGGCAGAGAUGUCGGGUCCUUUUGGGAACUCAUGCAGGUGGUGCAUGGCUGUCGUCAGCUCGUGUCGUGAGAUGUUGGGUUAAGUCCCGCAACGAGCGCAACCCUCGUCCUAUGUUGCCAGCACGUUAUGGUGGGGACUCAUAGGAGACUGCCGGGGUCAACUCGGAGGAAGGUGGGGAUGAUGUCAAGUCUUCAUGCCCCUUAUGUCCAGGGCUGCAAACAUGCUACAAUGGUCGGUACAAUGGGCUGCGAGACCGUGAGGUGGAGCGAAUCCCUAAAAGCCGGCCUCAGUUCGGAUCGGGGUCUGCAACUCGACCCCGUGAAGUUGGAGUCGCUAGUAAUCGCGGAUCAGCAACGCCGCGGUGAAUACGUUCCCGGGCCUUGCACACACCGCC
rnacentral:rRNA from 1 species